rnacentral:lncRNA from 1 species
UUCGGGGGCCUAAAGGCGCUUCCGAAGGCAUGCAUGUUCGGCGGCCGAACUUUGAGUUUCGGCGGCCGAACCUGAGCUUUCCUCCAAGGUUGUUUUUAUGCAAAAACUCAUUUUCAUUUUACUUAAAACCAUGAAAUACCUUAAAACAUUUUAUGAAAACAUGAUUCUACCCUACUAGAGGCUUCCGACAUUCGAGAUUCCACCGGACGGUAGGAAUUCCGAUACCGGAGUCUAGCCG